rnacentral:rRNA from 1 species
GAUCCUGGCUCAGGACGAACGCUGGCGGCGUGCCUAAUACAUGCAAGUCGAGCGAAGUUUUUCUGGUGCUUGCACUAGAAAAACUUAGCGGCGAACGGGUGAGUAACACGUAAAGAACCUGCCUCAUAGACGGGGACAACUAUUGGGAAACGAUAGCUAAUACCGGAUAACAACAUAAAUCGCAUGAUAUAUGUUUAAAAAGUUGGUUUCGGCUAACACUAUGAGAUGGCUUUGCGGUGCAUUAG